AACAUUUCGAAAUCAAAUACAAGAGAUGUGAGAUUUAUCUCUUUUAUCGUCAUUGUUUUGCUUAGUAAGUGAAAACCCUAAAGUAUGGUUUGCGAUAUGGCAUUUCUUGAUGCACAAGAA